rnacentral:rRNA from 1 species
GUCCACGCCCUAAACGAUGUCUACUAGUUGUUGGUGGAGUAAAAUCCAUGAGUAACGCAGCUAACGCGUGAAGUAGACCGCCUGGGGAGUACGGUCGCAAGAUUAAAACUCAAAUGAAUUGACGGGGGCCCGCACAAGCGGUGGAUUAUGUGGAUUAAUUCGAUGCAACGCGAAAAACCUUACCUGGCCUUGACAUGUAACGAACUUUCCAGAGAUGGAUUGGUGCUCGAAAGAGAACGUUAACACAGGUGCUGCAUGGCU